GUUCACAUCCCUGCUAGCAGCAGUUGCAGCGGAUCUGCUGGAAUGAGUAAGUGAAUAAAUGAAUGGGUGGCUACUAACUUGGAUGUGAAGUCACUUUACUUGAGUGAGGUGCUAAAAAGCACCAUAAAUACUUAGAAUAUCAUGUUAUUCUUAAGAAGUGUCCUUGUCGCCAGAUAUCUUCCCCAUCAUCAAAAGCAUUCUCUGUCAAUUAGAGCAGGAAGAAACACACCCAUUUCACCUGACCAGAGGGAACCGAAAGGGACGGACGGCAGUGGAAGCACGUUUCCUAGGUAGCCUCUUGUGGAGCAGAUGACACAGAGACCCAGCGGGCAAGGGCAGCUGGUUACAGCUUCAACGGGACGUUGAGCUCGUUCCAGAGCCUGCUGUAGUCAGCAGCAUUUUGGACAAGCACGGGACUCCAGCAACAUACAGCCUCUCCGCUGGAGGAGCCCUUGUUAUGUGACUCACCCUGCAACCCCCCAGCAUUUAAAGACCCUCUCAGGACUACUUUUUUCCUGAAGUUCUGCUACCUUUUUAUCAAGAAUUUGUAAAAUGAAUACCCCCAGAUCUGAUUUGGAAGCCAUAGCUUACAAUGGAGUCGGCUAUUGUUUUUAAAACGUGUCCUGCUUUGGGGUACACCCUCCCCUAGCACUGUCAUGCACUGUGUCAGAAUGCACUGACAACUUCCUAUGCUUCCUGCUGUGCUUAAUCACAUAGCGUAGUACUACCUUCAGCUGCGUGCACAAAGGAACAGAAUUACAUCCAGUUUGACGCCUUUUAAAGUUGCCCAUGCAAGAAAAAUUCUGCGGUUUCCCCCCAAGCUUUAAGUCAACUAAUAAUAAAGCGCAUUUUGGUGAACUAUCAUGAAUCAAAAUGUUAAUACUCCUAAAGCAUAACUAAAUCUUAAGUCUUUAUAGAUGAUUCCCAUGUUAAGCCUAAAUUUAGACUUCCUGAUUCUUAACUGGUGGACAGGCACAUUAGGGAAAAAGGAUACCCAUCAAAAUGUACACAUACUCUGUGGAAUAUCCUAGCUAUAAACCCGGAAAAAUAUCAAAGCUUACAGCACUCACAGUCUAAUUCUGUCUCACUAAAGGGACAAAAUCUCCUCUGAUUUUAAUGGGAACACUAUAUGCUUAACUAGGACCAAAUUUGGCUCUGUGACAGAUGUCCUGAGAUAAAGUAGUCACUACCACUAAAAAUGUCAACAAGUAUCCAUGGUUACCAUAUAGUGAUAUUUGAAUUAUCAUAGUUAUUCCCUGUUCUGACUUGUAUACACUCACACUGCUCUGUGAUAAAUAUGGGCGCAUUCUGGACUUUCUUUGCAAUAACCAGCUGGCAUAAUUUUCGCCCUGAUUACAUCCACUGCAAUCCCAAUGAAUCAGUAAGGAAACACAAAUUAAGACAGGAUUCGACCCCCUUUUUUGUCAACAGUGUCUGAGAUUUUUUUAAGCUACUCGUAGAGUUUGCUUUACUGUAACAAAAAAACCAUAGACAUAAAUAUUUUUUUUAAGAAUAUAUACAGCAAGAAAUUGGCAGAGCAAAGAGCUAAACCUGAGAUCCUCAGUUCCCAGUCCUCUUUUCUGACCAUUUCUUCCUUCCCAAAUCACAGAGACUGAUAGAAAUUUUUUGGUCUCAACUGCUGCAGGAUCUUUCCACGUCUUUGCUAGAGUCCUAGAAUUGCUCUCUUUUUGCACUCCUCUCCCUCCAGCUUUCACACACUUUCAUGCUCUUUAUUGAGACUACCAUCUUUGUGAUCAAAGCUUGGAAAGAACGCCCAUUGGAGCAAUUUUUAAUAAAUAGAUUUGGAGUGUUAUUAACCCUAAAGAUGAAAGCUGGCUCCCUAACUUUGCAUUUACAGGGUAAACAAUUUAAGUUAAGAUUUUUAAUUAAUAUUAAUUUAAACCAUCUGUCCACCAUCUGCUUAUUUCUGAUGCAAAAUAUGAGUUUCUUUGUGAUCUUUAAUCAGACACUUAGCAAACGCACAUCAAUUCUUAUCAUUUUUAAGUAAGAAAAUGAUUUCCAGAAAACGAGUUUUCAGACGUACAAACUAUUUUAAUAAUAAUUUUAAUCAAAACUCACUUUAUGAUAGCACAAUUACAAACUUUGGAAAAGAAAACCUCUGAUAAACAAGAAUACCCCAGAUCACAAUUUUUAUUAUUCUCAUCAGGUUCCUGUGAGUAAAAAGUAAGUAUGUACCAGAAUGUAAUUCAUUUUGUGGAACGAAUUCAGCCUCCAGACCACAUCACUGCAGGUCAACAGUGUAUAUAUACACAUAAAACAAAAUACCUUUGUUACUGCAUUUAUUAAAUGUCUAUAUAGUCAGAAAAGUUGAACCUUUCUAUAACAAAGGCAGCUCGUUUCUCCCAGAGAACCUAAUUUCAAUUCUCUUAAGUAGAAAAAGACCAACCUAGACUAAUUAAUUGCAGUUAGAAAGUUGUAUUGUAAGAGUAGGAAUGGCAGCCUUUAGCAAUCACAAUCACAGGUGCACACAGAGGCCCCACACAGCUAUGCCACUUUCCAGUAAAAGAUAAAUGCAAGUAUUUCCUAAAUUUUCCAGUUAUUAUUCAGCGUUUUAAAACGCAGCUUCCCCUCAUGACUUUCCAUUGCAGCUGAUCCCAGGAACUAACUCUUAAAAGUAGUCUUCUCUGAAACAAACCAAAAUCUUGAUGCUCGUGAGUUUCUAUCUGACUGUAGGUAAAGGUAAAUUGCCAAAUCAACCCAAACUUGAGGCAGAUCAUAAGCUCUCCAAAUCAGGAAACUUUAAAUAUUGAAACUGUUUAUAGAGAAACCAAGCCUUUCCCUCUUGGAAAGAAAAAGUCCCUCUGUAAAGAAAAAGCAGGUAGAUAUGCCCAUAUAGAAAUGUCACACUUCAAAACCCUGUUUACUGUACUGAGCUAUCAUAUUUAAUACUAUAGAAAUAAGUCAAAAUAGUAGAUCUAUACUCGUUUCUAUAAAAAGUGCUUUGAUUUUUUUCAGUAUGGAUACAGACAACUUGCACUUCCUUUUCCAAUCCUUCAAUUUGCAUUACAACCAUGCUGCAAAUAUCCUGAUUAUCUCCAUUUAGUUUACACAGCCUCCUAGAAAUACAAGAUUGAUGUGGAAAAUAUGAAAACUGUCCACUUUGGUAAAUCCUAGCACAGAACCUAGUAUUUGUAUGAUAGUAAAGGAAUUACUCUAAUAAUGCAUUCUGGAUCUUUUUAAUGUUAAUGAUGAAAGACAAGCAUUUCGUAUGGCAUAUAAUGAUAGAUGUAAUUUCAGUAAUGCUUGCAGCAGACUUCAGCUUUGUAAGGAGUUAAUGUAAAUUACUUUUUGCCUAAGACAGAAAAAUGUGAUAUGUUACUGUAGGUAUAUUAUGAUUAAAAAAAAGGAAUGACUUAUUAUCAUGACUUAUUAGCAUUACUUAUUAUCAUGAAACGUGUUUAGCAAAAAAAGUGUAAGACAGACUAUUUUAUUAAAAAGUGGACUUACUUAGUCUCAUAGAUAGUGUGGUAAAAUGCAGUAUCAUUCCUAGCAAUAUAUCAGGAGAAAGAAAUGAAGUUUUAUGCUGAGAAAGAAUGAAAAAACUGUUCAAGUUCUUUAAGUUCUUACCUAGCUGGCUGCCUAUAUGUUGCUGGUCCUUAACAAGUAGAAAGGUUGGGUUUGGAAGUACUAUCACCUAAGAACAACACGCACUCCCUCUCUCUCCCCUCUUUUCCUUUUCUUUCUUUCUUUUUCUUUUCCUUCCUUUCUUUUUUUUUUUUUGAAGACUAUCGCAUUUACGUAAUCGUCCUCUUAUUAGGAAGAUUCUGCUGAACUGCUGACAAUGAUGUACAGUAGUGCUUCGCCGGUAUGACGUCUGGGGAAAACGAUUCUGCUGCACCACCACACAAAACCAAUUAGAGAACUAUUUUCUACGACAGGUCAGGAAUUUACAUUGUUUCUCAUAGAAAGAUGUGCUUUUUAAUUUCUUUAUUAAGAUGACAUCCAUGUCCCUUGUAACUUUUAGGUAUGACAAUCAUUUGCUCAUCACAUGGGAAAGUACAAUCAGCGAAAUCGCAUUACCGGUACGGGGCAAAGCCAGAAACUCCAAGCAUCGUUCCACAUUUUCCAAAUGAACUAGUUUGAGAACCAAUAAUUAGAACAAUAUAUAUUGAUAGAAUUUUUUGACAAGACCUCUAGUUACUCACCAGGGGGGUGAAGUAAUGAUAGUACAUAUACAACAGGCUAUGUUAUGUUUGCUGCACAUACAAACAUUGUCUUUGUCAAAUCAUUAAGACAUCUAGAAAUCCUGUAUGUCUUGGUAUCGGGACAUAAUAUGAGGUACUAAGCUUUUUCUCCUUUUUUUUUGAGUUGUGGAUGGGAAACUGUUUCGCCUUGGUGAAGUCUUGAUGGUCAAUAUUUUUAUACUGAAGUGAAUAUAUCCAAAAGUAAAUUUAAAAUACUAUCAUCUCUGAUACGACAAAUUCACAAAAUCAAAGAUUUCCCCAUAUAAGGCUGAAAUGAUGUCAAUAACUCACUCCGUUUAUCUCACUCUUUAUCAGCGACAGCUUUCUGA